rnacentral:rRNA from 1 species
ACUUAAAUUGAAGAGUUUGAUCAUGGCUCAGAUUGAACGCUGGCGGCAGGCCUAACACAUGCAAGUCGAGCGGUAACACAGGGAGCUUGCUCCCGGGUGACGAGCGGCGGACGGGUGAGUAAUGUCUGGGAAACUGCCUGAUGGAGGGGGAUAACUACUGGAAACGGUAGCUAAUACCGCAUAACGUCGCAAGACCAAAGAGGGGGACCUUCGGGCCUCUUGCCAUCAGAUGUGCCCAGAUGGGAUUAGCUAGUAGGUGGGGUAACGGCUCACCUAGGCGACGAUCCCUAGCUGGUCUGAGAGGAUGACCAGCCACACUGGAACUGAGACACGGUCCAGACUCCUACGGGAGGCAGCAGUGGGGAAUAUUGCACAAUGGGCGCAAGCCUGAUGCAGCCAUGCCGCGUGUAUGAAGAAGGCCUUCGGGUUGUAAAGUACUUUCAGCGGGGAGGAAGGUGUUGAGGUUAAUAACCUCAGCAAUUGACGUUACCCGCAGAAGAAGCACCGGCUAACUCCGUGCCAGCAGCCGCGGUAAUACGGAGGGUGCAAGCGUUAAUCGGAAUUACUGGGCGUAAAGCGCACGCAGGCGGUCUGUCAAGUCGGAUGUGAAAUCCCCGGGCUCAACCUGGGAACUGCAUUCGAAACUGGCAGGCUAGAGUCUUGUAGAGGGGGGUAGAAUUCCAGGUGUAGCGGUGAAAUGCGUAGAGAUCUGGAGGAAUACCGGUGGCGAAGGCGGCCCCCUGGACAAAGACUGACGCUCAGGUGCGAAAGCGUGGGGAGCAAACAGGAUUAGAUACCCUGGUAGUCCACGCCGUAAACGAUGUCGACUUGGAGGUUGUGCCCUUGAGGCGUGGCUUCCGGAGCUAACGCGUUAAGUCGACCGCCUGGGGAGUACGGCCGCAAGGUUAAAACUCAAAUGAAUUGACGGGGGCCCGCACAAGCGGUGGAGCAUGUGGUUUAAUUCGAUGCAACGCGAAGAACCUUACCUACUCUUGACAUCCAGAGAACUUUCCAGAGAUGGAUUGGUGCCUUCGGGAACUCUGAGACAGGUGCUGCAUGGCUGUCGUCAGCUCGUGUUGUGAAAUGUUGGGUUAAGUCCCGCAACGAGCGCAACCCUUAUCCUUUGUUGCCAGCGGUCCGGCCGGGAACUCAAAGGAGACUGCCAGUGAUAAACUGGAGGAAGGUGGGGAUGACGUCAAGUCAUCAUGGCCCUUACGAGUAGGGCUACACACGUGCUACAAUGGCGCAUACAAAGAGAAGCGACCUCGCGAGAGCAAGCGGACCUCAUAAAGUGCGUCGUAGUCCGGAUUGGAGUCUGCAACUCGACUCCAUGAAGUCGGAAUCGCUAGUAAUCGUAGAUCAGAAUGCUACGGUGAAUACGUUCCCGGGCCUUGUACACACCGCCCGUCACACCAUGGGAGUGGGUUGCAAAAGAAGUAGGUAGCUUAACCUUCGGGAGGGCGCUUACCACUUUGUGAUUCAUGACUGGGGUGAAGUCGUAACAAGGUAACCGUAGGGGAACCUGCGGUUGGAUCACCUCCUUACCUUAAAGAA